rnacentral:rRNA from 1 species
GUCUUGACAUCCUCUGACACCCCUAGAGAUAGGGCUUCCCCUUCGGGGGCAGAGUGACAGGUGGUGCAUGGUUGUCGUCAGCUCGUGUCGUGAGAUGUUGGGUUAAGUCCCGCAACGAGCGCAACCCUUGAUCUUAGUUGCCAGCAUUCAGUUGGGCACUCUAAGGUGACUGCCGGUGACAAACCGGAGGAAGGUGGGGAUGACGUCAAAUCAUCAUGCCCCUUAUGACCUGGGCUACACACGUGCUACAAUGGACAGAACAAAGGGCAGCGAGACCGCGAGGUUAAG